UACGGGGGGGGCAAGCGUUGUUCGGAAUUACUGGGCGUAAAGGGAGCGUAGGCGGACAUUUAAGUCAGAGGUGAAAUCCCGGAGCUUAACUUCGGAACUGCCUUUGAUACUGGGUGUCUUGAGUGUGAGAGAGGUAUGUGGAACUCCGAGUGUAGAGGUGAAAUUCGUAGAUAUUCGGAAGAACACCAGUGGCGAAGGCGACAUACUGGCUCAUUACUGACGCUGAGGCUCGAAAGCGUGGGGAGCGAACAGG
rnacentral:rRNA from 1 species